rnacentral:rRNA from 1 species
AGCAGUCGCCGCGGGAAUACGGAGGGUGCGAGCGUUAAUCGGAAUUACUGGGCGUAAAGGGCGCGUAGGUGGUUAAUUAAGUUGGAUGUGAAAUUUCCGGGCUUAACCUGGGCAGUGCAUCCAAGACUGGUUAGCUAGAGUCCUAUAGAGGGGGGUAGAAUUCCACGUGUAGCGGUGAAAUGCGUAGAGAUGUGGAGGAAUACCGGUGGCGAAGGCGGCCCCCUGGAUGGAGACUGACACUGAGGCGCGAAAGCGUGGGUAGCAAACAGGAUUAGAUACCCCAGUAGUCCCUGUCUCUUAUAC